rnacentral:rRNA from 1 species
GAUGAACGCUGGCGGCGUGCUUAACACAUGCAAGUCGAACGGUGAAGCAGGAGCUUGCUCCUGUGGAUCAGUGGCGAACGGGUGAGUAACACGUGAGCAAUCUGCCCUGGACUCUGGGAUAAGCGUUGGAAACGACGUCUAAUACCGGAUACGAGGCGUGGGGGCAUCCCCAAUGACUGGAAAGAACUUCGGUCCAGGAGGAGCUCGCGGCCUAUCAGGUAGUUGGUGAGGUAACGGCUCACCAAGCCUACGACGGGUAGCCGGCCUGAGAGGGUGACCGGCCACACUGGGACUGAGACACGGCCCAGACUCCUACGGGAGGCAGCAGUGGGGAAUAUUGCACAAUGGGCGCAAGCCUGAUGCAGCAACGCCGCGUGAGGGACGACGGCCUUCGGGUUGUAAACCUCUUUUAGCAGGGAAGAAGCGAAAGUGACGGUACCUGCAGAAAAAGCACCGGCUAACUACGUGCCAGCCGCCGCCGUAAAAC